rnacentral:rRNA from 1 species
AGAUUAAGUUAUUAAGGGCGCACGGUGGAUGCCUUGGCACUAGAAGCCGAUGAAGGACGUUACUAACGACGAUAUGCUUUGGGUAGCUGUAAGUAAGCGUUGAUCCAGAGAUUUCCGAAUGGGGGAACCCAGCAUGAGUUAUGUCAUGUUAUCGACAUGUGAAUUCAUAGCAUGUCAGAAGGCAGACCCGGAGAACUGAAACAUCUUAGUACCCGGAGGAAGAGAAAGAAAAAUCGAUUCCCUGAGUAGCGGCGAGCGAAACGGGAAUAGCCCAAACCAACAAGCUUGCUUGUUGGGGUUGUAGGACACUCUAUACGGAGUUACAAAAGAACAUGUUAGACGAAUCAUCUGGAAAGAUGAAUCAAAGAAGGUAAUAAUCCUGUAGUCGAAAACAUAUUCUCUCUUGAGUGGAUCCUGAGUACGACGGAGCACGUGAAAUUCCGUCGGAAUCUGGGAGGACCAUCUCCUAAGGCUAAAUACUCUCUAGUGACCGAUAGUGAACCAGUACCGUGAGGGAAAGGUGAAAAGUACCCCGGAAGGGGAGUGAAAGAGAACUUGAAACCGUGUGCUUACAAGUAGUCAGAGCCCGUUAAUGGGUGAUGGCGUGCCUUUUGUAGAAUGAACCGGCGAGUUACGAUCUGAUGCAAGGUUAAGCAGCAAAUGUGGAGCCGCAGCGAAAGCGAGUCUGAAUAGGGCGUUGAGUAUUUGGUCGUAGACCCGAAACCAGGUGAUCUACCCUUGGUCAGGUUGAAGUUCAGGUAACACUGAAUGGAGGACCGAACCGACUUACGUUGAAAAGUGAGCGGAUGAACUGAGGGUAGCGGAGAAAUUCCAAUCGAACUUGGAGAUAGCUGGUUCUCUCCGAAAUAGCUUUAGGGCUAGCCUCAAGUGAUGAUUAUUGG